AGAAUGGGAGCAAAAAAAAAAAAAUUAGAUUUGAUAUUUUCAGUCAUUCAUCCAACAAAUAUUUAAAGUACCUAACUGUAUACUAGGAACUGAUGUCAACAGUGACCCAGUCAGGCAAAGGUAAACAAGGUUCUGCUGAGUCUAGGAGAGCUCGUAUCCUUGGUCACUCCAAUGCAUGGGUGUAUUUGUUUCUAAAUGGACCGUGGUAGAUGUGGGAUCGACAAUAUCUGCUACCUAGCUCAUGGCCUCCAGCUUUAACAGUACCAUUUUGGGGGAGUUGGAUGGGAUCCACCCUUCAGCCCACCUUGGCAAUAUUCAAUAAAUUAGACUUAAUACCAGUUGCAAUGAGGAGCCACACAUGCCAUAGUGAAUGACUGGGGCACUUCUGUAAAGAGCACAAGAAGUGUCUUAGUCUGUGGUGGAACACAUGUUCACUGCCCUGCCUAGAUCCCAGUUAGCUUAGUACCUGAGCCUGAAGCUGGGUUAGGUCACAGAUGAGGAGGGGACUUUAGAAGGGACACUAAGAGGAAACAAGAAAGUGGGAGCUCUCUGUUUGGAAUAACGGGCUCUGCAGGUGUGGUUAAGGCAUGAUGACUACGUAAGCAUGUCCCAGACUAGCAGGAUGAGCCUUCAGUAGCUGGAGAGAUGGCUCAGUUGGCAAAGUGUUCACCGUGCAAACAUAGGGACCUGAAUUCAAGGAAAGUCCAAGUGGGGUGGUGCAUGUCUGUCACCACAGCACUGGAGAAGCAAAGACCCUAGAGGUCACUGUCUAGCCAGCCUAGGGGAGCUGGUGAGCUCUGGGUUCAUAAAAAGGGCCCGGUCUCAAAAGUAUAGAAAUAAGGUAAAGAGUGAUCAGGGACGAGUCCUGACAUCCAUCUCCUCAUGCACAUGUAUGCGGAUACACAUACUCAUAUGAACAUGUACACACCACAUAUUCAUGUACACACACAAAUAAUAAUAACAACAAAAAAAGGAAUAAACAAAAUGGAAUAGGCCCUAAGUCCACUCAUGGAUGUUUUUAUAAGAAAUCAAAGGACUGGACACUAGAAGCACUGAAGGGAAAGCCAUGUGAAGACAGAGCACAGGGAUCUGCUGGGCUCUGCCUAGGAGAAGCCCAGGAUAUUUACAGCUACCAGAAAAUGGAAGAGGUGAGGCUAAACUCUCUUCAGAAGAAACUCCAGAAGAUGCUGCCCUGCUAAGUCUUUGAUUUUGACUUGUGGCCUCCAGAGCUACAAAAGAAUAAACUUCUCUAGCUUUAAACCACUUGUUUGUUCCAGGAAACUGAUCCAGACACAAUCUAGGUGGGAAAACAAUGGCAUUGUAAAGGGAUGAAAACAUCCAAGUCUCAUAGCACUAAGGAAAUAUGACAGAAUCCCUGAGAAAAUGGGACCCAAAACACGGCCUCUGGCCAAAGAAGAUCCACUUGGUGAAUGACUAAAAUGAUCCAUCCUUCCAGGACAAUACAACUCAGACACUAAGAGCCAUGAACUUAGUAUAUAUAGUGGCUACAGUGAGGUCUUGUGUAAUUCCAGUGAGUGAAAGCCAAACAAAAUUGAGUGUGUACUCUUUGCUAUGACUGUAGUUAUGUAAAAUUCUAAAACACUCAAACUAAUCUAUAGUGAGCAAAACAUGUCCAUGGACACAAGAUGGAAGAGCUACUAACUGAGUUAUGGUCCCUAAAAUUUAGAUAUUGAACCUUGGCCUGGAGAGAUAGCUCAGCAGUGAAGAACACAUAGUGCUCUCAGAGGGAGUCUAAGUUCAUUUCCCAGUGCCUCUGCCACCUGUAACUACAGUUCCUCUUCUGGCCUCUGUGGGCAUGAUCCUCAUAGGCUCACAUGCUUACACAUUGACACAAGCAUGCUCACAAUUAAAAACAAAAGUAAAAUCAUGAAAGUCUAGACUGCAGGAGUGUCUUCUAUCUAUUUGUUGCUUUCAUUGGUUAAUUAAUAAAGAAAACUGCUUGGCCUGAUAGGUCAGAACAUAGGUAGGUGGGGAAGACAAAAUAGAAUGCUGGGAGAAAGAAGGCAGUGAGGCAGUCGCCAUGCUUCUCCUACCCAAGACAGACGGUGGUUAGAAUCUUCCAAGUAAGCCACCACCUCGUGGUGCUACACAGAUUAUUAGAAAUGGGUUAACCAAGAUGUGAGAGUAAGCCAGUAAGAGGCUAGAGCUAAUGGGCCAGGCAGUGUUUAAAUGAAUACAAUUUCUGUGUAAUUAUUCUGGGGCUAAGCUAGCUGUGCGGGCGGGAUGAAAAGCAGGCCUGCCCACAGCUCCUUCAACACUAGACCCUAAUAGGAUUGUGUUGGGAGACAGGGAUUUUGGAGCAUGAUUAAGUCAUAAGGAUGGUAUAAUCGGUGGCCCUUUAAAAGGAGACACUAAUAGCUUCUUCAUUUAUAUUCUCUGUCUCUGUUUCUGUCUGUCUCAUGUGUGUGUGUGUCCAUAAUACAAGAACACAGUGAGAAGGUAGUGUCUGCAACUUGGAAGACAGUUCUCACCAGCCCCUGACCCUAUCAGCAUCUUGACUUCCAGACGUCAAUCCCCAGAACUGAAAGAAAGAAAUUUUUGCUGUUCAAGCCACCGAGUCUGUAGAUGAAUUCGAGAGAUGAGGAGGAGCAAAAGAAAGAGAAUCUUCUAAGCAGAAACCUGAGAAAGACUCCCAUAGCUGAGGAAGGCCUGGGGAACUCCUGUGUGCAAAUGUCUAUGGGAGAAGGCGAGGAGUGGUAACCCACACAGAGGCCAUUGUUGAGGGAAUAGGAGACCACGAGGUUGUUGACACACCCUGCACCCAACCCACAAAGGAGUACGACGUAAUCACGAGUCCUCUGGGAGACCUGCUGCUUUAGCCUCAGAUUCUAAAUGGUUCCUGCUUGGUGAUCCUGUGGCUCCAGUUUCUCUUUAAGAAGACUGAAGUUAGAGAGACCUGGAGUGAGCAGGCUGGUGGGCCACCCAUUCUGGCCCAGGGGAGAGCUGCCUUUCUCAAUGCUAACUGCAGAAUGGCAGGAGUUCAUGACAUAAAAAUCAAGUUCCCACAUCCCUUCAUGCCUGGGUACCGCCAUGGCAUUUCUGUGUCUAGAACCCAUCACUCCUUCACUACAGACAGUCAGUGCUGCCCUGCUGAACCUCGCGAAAGGAUUCUGCAUCCAGUGUCAUGAGACAUUAUUAAGUCAAACUCCUGAGUGAUGAGUACAGUCCUAUUGGAUGGUCAAAGAUAAGGCUAGGAGCCGGGCGGUGGUGGCGCACGCCUUUAAUCCCACCACUCGGGAGGCAGAGGCAGGCGGAUCUCUGGGAGUUCGAAGACAGCCUGAUCUACAAGAGCUAGUUCCGGGACAGGCUCCAAAGCUACAGAGAAACCUUGUCUCGGGAAAAAAAAAAAGUCUUUGCAGGGAGUGUCAGCCAGUGGAAACGUCAGCACUAGUGCCAGGCCACUGAGCAUCGCGGCCUCCAGGGAAUGCAAACACUUUGUAAAUGGUUGCUCCACCAUACUGUCUAAAGAACAGCUGCAAGAGGAAAAGCCUGAAGGAGACACAACCAAUCUCUUUUCAGCAUUUUCCAUCUGGAGCCAGCCCAUGAUAGAGGUAAUCAGCUGCCCUGCGUCAGCUUGGUACCUGGUUACUGUGAAACUCUGCAGUGUCCCUAGGGGACCUGUGAAGCAACAUAUAGCUAAUGAGUGUGGGAAUGGUCAAGUCGCCAGGAACUGAGGCCACAGCCAACAAGCCAAAUGAGCUCUUUCACCCCAAGAUGUCAGGGUGAGACAGGUCUUUGUUUCAAAAUAUGGGUUUCUGGGCAGGAAAUAAAGAUGCUUGCAGCCGAACCUGACUACCUGAAUUCUCUUCGUGGGACUCAUAUGGUAGAAGGAGAAAACUGACUCUCCCAAGUUGUCCUCUGACCUCCACAUGCAUUCUACGGCAGGCAUGUGCAUCAUAACACACACACACACAAUUUAAAACUUUCAAAAAUAGAUUUUAUUACUUAGAAGAAUUUUACAUUUAUCGAAAGAUUGGGAAGGCCAUGCAGGGCCCCAUAAAUGCCACAUAUAAUUCCCCGUCGCUAACAUCUUGCUAAAAAUGAGCACAAAAGCAAUUCAUCUCAGUCAUGACAGAAAUUUUAGAAACAAGGACUAUGCAUGAAUGCUCAGGACACAAAUUUGGUUGGAAAGGAAAAGGCUUUCUGGAAAGGGAAUCUUCAGGGAUUCAGGGAAAGGAAAUUCAGGUCACCCUCUGUCAGAGAAAAGAGGCAGGCUGCUAGCAUCUGACAGAUGUCUGGGGUGUGUUGUUCGUGAGGAUGGUAGCCCUCCCCUCCACACACGCUAAUCUCGUCCACAUGGUUAAAGGGGAUUUUUCCAUGUACGAUGUAUAUCAGUGUCCAGUCUGUCCUGACACCCGUAGGGAAUGUGUCUUGCCAUAAAGGAAUACAAGACAGGCACAUUUACUAGACUUGUCUGCAUGGAGGGAGGCUAAUAGGAUUUAAGGGUUUUUCUAUUGCUACUUUAUCACAUCCAAAUAGCACACAGUCUGCAGGUAAGAGGAAAAUAUUGUAAUUUAAUAAAUCCCUUGCUUCCCUCAUCCCCUACAACCCAUGUACGUGUGUUCCUGUGUGUGCAUGUGUUGGGGGCAGGGCAUGUGAGAGUAGAGACCAGAGGCCAGUGUCGUGUCUUCCUCAAUCUUUCUAAUCACUCUCCACCUUAAUGUUUGUGACAGGGUCUCUCCCUGAACCUGGAAUCCACUGACUUGGCUAGACUGGCUGCCCAGCACCCCGGGGACCCGCCUGUCUCUACCUCCCCAGCACUAGGUUCUAGGGAUGCACUACAACAUCUGGCUUUCUCAUGUGUGUUCUGGGGAUCCAAAAGUGGGUCCCCAUGCUGUUACAGCAGGCACUUGGUCAACUAUGCUGGCUCUCCAGCCUCAGGCUUCCUUACUUCUUACCUAAAGUCCUUUCUCUGCUCCAGAAUCCCAGGACAUGUCACGCUGAGGCACAGUGACUCUUGGGGUGCCUCUUGGCUAUGGCAGUUUCUCAGACUUUUGUUUUUCAUACUCUGGAUGCUUUGAAGGAUGGCUAUCCAGGUGUUCUGGGGAAUGUUCAUUUAUCAGAACCAUUUGAUGUUUUUUUUUUUUUCCUUAUGAUUAGAAUGGGGCUCUGGGUUUGGGAGGAAAAAGAGGGGGGAAACACUAACGUCAGAUAGUCAUCUCAUCAAACUGUAUUAUAAAGGAGCCAGGGAUAUGAGUUCUCCAUCAAAGAGUUGGGUGCGGCGGUACAUGCAGAUAAUCCCAACAUGGGGGGCAGGCAGGCUCCCUGGCCAGCCUGUCUAGCCUUCCUAGGCCAUUGAAAGGCCCUGCCUCAAAAGCCAAGGUAAAUAGUCCUUGAGGAAUAACAGCAGAGGACCUCUGGUGUCCACACACGUGCAUGCUUAGGCAUGUGCACCCGCGCACAUGCAACUUGCCUACACAAACUGUAGCAUUAAUGUGAUUGUGACCACUGACAAACCUUUUUUUGUAUGUAGUGUGUUCGUGUCCAUCCACAUGCAUAUACACAUGAGUUAGCCCGUGUGUGCAGGUGUGGAAGGCUGAGGUAGAUCCCAGGCCUCCUCCUCUGCAUUCUCCACCUUACUUUUUGAGACAAGGUCUCUCACUGAACCUGAAGUUUGCUAUUUUGGUUACAGUGGCUGGCUACUGAUCUCCCAUGAUCCCCGUGUCCAUCCCGACUCCUAUCUCUGGGCUGUAGCUGCUCAGCACCAUGUCCAAGUGUGUGCUGGGGAUUUAAACUCAGUUCUUUGUGUUUAUGAAGCAUGCACUUUACCCACUAGGCUGUCUUCUCAGCCCCUAUUGGUUGGAUUUUGGUGGCCAGAAUGAAGCAAUAUGCACCAGGGCUUCCCUGCACAGUUGAGAAGGGACCUCUGGGUGCAAAAAGCGCCAGGGCACCUUCUUCACAGUGUCCCCAAAAAUGAGCUAGCAGUGGGAAUGAGGCCGCUGGCGGGGGCGGGGGGGUCCCACAAAAGAACCGAUGAUAAACUCCAGGGCCCUCAGAUGUGUUGUUCAUUGAAAGCUUGCUGUGAACUUUCUCCACUGCCCCCCGCCCAACCUCACCUAUAUUCUCUUCGCAGUUUUGAGGGCAAUUCUCACGGCAAGGCUGUAUGUUUCUGGAUGAUGGGAUUAACAGAGGGAUGCAACAACCCCUGGAUAAACUGGUUCUGCAAGGCCAGGAUGUGGACACAGAAGGAAAAGAUACUUCAAAGCUGGUUUGUCAUUGAGUCUGCCAGAAUCUUCCAUUGUAACUCCAGCUGCCCUAUUCAAAUUUGUAUAACCUGGCUCCUCUGAUCCAAGCCCAAUGAGAGUGAGGACCUUGCUGUAGAAUCCAGCUUUCCGGGACCCUGCUCAAUAUACCCCAGGAACCCUGUAUUCUGUUGAAAGAUUACCCGGCUCCCAGAGCCAAUCCCCACUUCAGACAGGAGAACUCAGUCUUGCUUCUAAAGCCCAGGUGUGAGCAAACCCUUGUUUGAUGGCUCAUCCCCAGGAAGUUCUCAAUGGAUAAGAUCAAGAGGCGGUGUCAGAGCAAUCAUUGCUACACCUACACCUGAGUGUCCCUUGACCUCUGCUCAUAGAUAUUUAUUCACCCAUGUCUGUUGAGCCCUGCAUGCCAGAUAUCAUGCUAGAUACCGGGAUUGUACAAGUCAAGAAGGUGUAACCUCUACAAGUUUUCAUUGCCUCCACCUGCAAUAAAAAUAAUACCAUUUGUCGGGUGGCUUGAACAACAGAAACCCAUUCUUGCAUAGUUCCAGAGAACAGAAGUCUGUGUCAAGGGUGCCAAUAGGGCUAAGUUUUGGUGUGAGAUCUCUUCCUAGCAUGGAGAGGACAAUCUCAAAUGGAAGGAGGAAACAGAGAAAAAGAGAGACAGAGACAGAGACAAUGUCUGUCUUCUUAAAAGGGGCACUAAUAUGCCUUCCUUUUGAGAGUGGCAGCAAGCAAAGAUAGAUCACCAUGAAGGCCUCAGGCACACUUUGUGAGUAAAAGGUGGGGGGCACUUCUUGCCUUCCCCAAAGUGCCAAAUGCCACCUAGGUACCAAAUCUGCAUCUUUGUACCCAACCAUGUGGUGGCCAAGUCCCGCUUCCGGUGUUUGGUGUCAAGGCUGAAGAAGACGUCAAUUAGGGGAGACAGUGCACCAUGGACAGGUGUUUGAGAAGCCACCCCUGGGUGAAGAACUUAGGCGUCUGACUGCACCCUGACUUCUGCAGUGACACACAUGUACCGAGAGGAUCAGGACCUGACCACCUCUGAUGCCAUCACAAUGCUACUGAGACAUGGGUGCCCAGCACCAUGCCUGUCCACAUCCCUGCAGAUCAUGAGGGGGGAAGAGACUGAAGAGGGUAAGUGCUGCUGGCCAGCUGUCAAACAGCUCCGUGACUCCAAGUUCAAGUUCCUGUUGUGCGGCACCAACUCCGCCACCAAGAGACCCAACUGAGUAAAACUCCAGAGGGUCAGAAAAGGAGGGGGCACUAAUACCAUCAUGGGGCCUCACCACGAUCUCAUCUAAAGUUAAUCCCCUCCCAGAACUCUGUCUUCGUGGGUCAUCUAACUGGUUCUCGGGCUUCAGCAGGGAAUUUCCAAGCGUUGGGAUCACAGGGGUGUUCCCCCACUCCUGCCUGCUGUUCUCCCAUUUGCUGAUGAGGCUGAACACUUGAUUGCCAACUAGUGGCACUGUUUUAGGAUGCAGAGACUUGCUGGGGAGAAGGGGUCAGCAGGGGUGGGUUCUGAGAUGUUAAGAGUCUGGCUCUCCUUCCUGUCUUCCUGAUGAGGGAUACAGGGUGACCGGCUGACUGUAGCUUCUUCUGUUGUGCCGUCUUCUCUUGCUGAGCCAUUCUUCUUCAUUGUCAAUCUCUGUUCAGCUUCACUCACGAUGAUAAAAAAAAUGAUUAUAUCUCCUGUCAUUAAUAUCUCCUGUCAUUAAUAUUGUCUGUCAUUAAUAUCUUCUGCAAAUUACACAAGAUGUAGUCAGCUUUCACCUGUUUGGAUCCCAGCGUCCUCCAGUUCUUCCCAGCCUUGAAUAUUUAAGGUUCUGGCUCUUUCCCAUGAAGUACAAGUCCCUCUUAUCUUGACCUCAUUAUGGCCCAGACUUUGCAAGUUCCCUGCAUUGACUUCAGUGCCUUCCACACAGCCAAAGCCUGUGUGUCUAAGAGAAGAAUUUCUUAGAAAGCAAGUUAGAUUAAUGAGUGCAACCUGAUUCGGCACAGUAAAAAUUGGAAGCCGAGGCCGCGGUCCACUGCCCUGGCAACAGCAAGACACGUACGCAGUCAAGGAAUACCAAGAGAACCAACCUUCCAUGAAGUACACAGGGUGAUGGUUGUUUGGGGCUGCUCUGCUUGUAGUAAAUAGAAUCAAAUUGGAUGAAUUGAGGGAAGUGUAAUGAAGAACACAGGAGGAUAGAGACAGGAGAAGAAGGAAGAGGUGGAAGAGAAGAGAGGAGAGGAGGAAGAGGGAGGAAGAAGAGGAGGAGAAGGAGGGGCAGUAAGACGCAGGAGGAGUCAGGGUGUGGCACCUUUGGCAGAGUGCUUGCCUCCCAUGAGAUGUAGCCCUAGGUUUGACCUCCAGCCUGGUGUAAUCCAGGUGUGUUAAUACACAGUUAUAAUCCAAACGCUUGAGAGGCUGAGGUUAAAGAAUCAGCAGUUUGAUUAUCUUCAACUCCAUAGCAAGUUUGAGGCCAGUCUGGGCUACAUGAGACCUGCCUCAAGUAGCAACAGCAAAGGCAGGAGAGGUCAAAGGACAGCAGACCCUUUUGGGGAAGUACGUGCAGUCAGGUAGGUUCUCUUCUAAACCCUGUAGCUGCCACAGGAGGAAUCCAGAGAAGUUACAAUAUGACCCCCAGGGAAGAGACCCUUUAAGAUGAUGGAGUGGAGGAGUAAAUACUCUUAGUUUCUUGGUCCUCCUUGUUUAUGGUCUCCAGCCAAAUGUUCCCCAUGUGCCCAGUUGGCAAAGGCCAACCUCAAAUAUAGAGAGAAUGAGAGAGAUGACAGGGAUGCAGAAUGCAGAAUGGUUUAUGCUCAUGGCCAACACAUCUCCCAGAAUCUGCCCCUUAACCCAGGAACACACACACACACACACACACACACACACACACACUUUCUGGUAACAGAACCCUGUUAUUUCUUGGAGGGAGGUGCUACAAGCCUAACCACAUCUUUCAAUAUCUCAGAAUAUGACCUUACGUGGAAACAGGUCAUUGUUGACAUGAGAGGAGAGGAGGGUUUAUUUGGUUUACACUUCUAGAUCACAGUUCUUCACUGAGGGAAAUCUUUAUGUGAAAGAGUGGGUCCUUAGUCUAAUAUGCCUGGUGUCUCUAUAAGGAAAAAAAAAAUACAGGGUCUGAAGAUGUGUCUCAGUUGGUAGGUCCCUUGUCUGGCAGUCACAAAGCCCUGGGUUUCAUUCUGAAUACCAAAUAAAUUGUGUGGUGGCAGGCUCCUGCAAUCCUAGCAGUCAGAGGGGUAGACAGGAGGACGGAAAAAUUCAAGGUCAUUCUUGGCCACAGAGCACAUUCAAGGCCUAGCCCUAGCCUAGUCAACAUGAAACCUUGUCUCCAUAAAAGGAAAAGGGAAAUAGAAAGCUGGACUUAGAGCUGUGGGGAAGAUGGCGGGGGUUGGGGGCGGGGAGCAGAGGUAAAGACUGAGCAGCGGCAGAUGUAAGGGAGAGGUCACGAGGGCUAGCCGAAACUGGCACCACCAACGGAAGAUGCUUUCAGCCUGCAGCCUUCGGAGGGCAUGAAGCCCUGCUAAUAACUUAACUUCUGGUCUCCUGCCCCCAGGACUCUGAGACUUCCUGUUUCUUAAGCAGGCUUUUUGGGGUACAGGCUGAGCAGUUCCCGUCUCAAAGGAAAAGAGUCCAAAUUACUCCAACCUCUGAAACGACAUCAACAUCAAGUCACAAGUGGAAAACACCAGAGAUGACUUCGUAGGACAGGUGGCAGCCUGGACCCGGGCAUACAAUGCCUCGUUGUAUAAAACUGCCUUCAGGUCAUGUGUGUGUGUCUAGCAGAUAUGAAAAAUAGAUGAAUUUCUUAUUUUGACUUCGGUCCCACCUCAGUGAUAUCUCAUUGUGAAUAUACAAAUAUUCUGAAAUCGCCUUUUGGUCAGGGAAACCAUUGUAUACCGUAUUACAGAAUCAGCCCUAGGGGAUGAGUAGACCUUAACCUCCCUUCCACGUGGAAUCCUGGUGGACUACAAAGUCCAUGAAAGCUAAGGGGGUGCAGUGAUUUUCGAGGCAUCAUGAACUUGAAGAGUAAAAAUGAGGAAAUGAGGGCCUCAAUUCAGUCCCCAGCUCUGCCACUUACUGGCCAAGAGGGAGUUAGAUGAACCCAUCUGGGGGGGGGGAAGCAUGUUUGAGGUACGGGGUUCCUUGGCUGGGUUUCGGAAGACAUAGAAGAACUCAAAGGAGAUGGAGGACACCCUGAGCAAGUUGGAAACCCCUGGUGGCCCUUCUUACUUUCGCCCCUCAUCAGAAUUUUAGAUUCUUGAAGUUCUCUUUCUCCUGUUUCAAGGAGGGAGGUUACUCUCCAUACGCAAUUCCCUGCAUCUAAGAGGUGGGCAGAUGGAAAAUUCACUAAAGUUACCAUUUGCACAAAGCUGAUGUAGAAGAAGACAACAGCCAGCCAGAAAGAUGCUGCCCUGGCUUCCCAGUGUUCCGCAAGAAUCCCAAGUGUCCACGUGGGAAAACCUAAAUCAACGUGACCUCUCUAGACCCAGGCUCUUCACAGGGGGACUUGACACUGGUCUCUUUUCGCAGGACCAGUCCCGUGAGAAUUGCCUCACCCGACAGCUGCAUGAUGCCAUUCAAUUACAAAUAUGACUCGAUCCCUGCUCAUGGUGCACCAAGGGCAUGUCCUGGGAUCUGUUCUAAGCGUGGCCCUGUGUGUACACAGCACUGAGGGGACAGUGUGAGCCUUCCCCUGGCACUGGCAAGCCAAGGCGAAGAGCUGAAGGAGGCUCAGCCAAACCACCUGAGGUCUGGGAGCCAGCAGAGAAGAUUAAGCAGCUGUGCACACUCGCAAGGGCACCAUCUCCACACUGCCGAUCAAUGGAGACUACCACACUGCUAUUAAAGUGGUGCCAGGCCCCGCCCCUGGUGUAGGUGGCAGAACUGUGAGACUGGAACUCCAUGACUCCAAAGUACUUGCUCUUCGUACUGUAGUAGGACACCAUUGUCACCUGGGAAAUGUACCUGACCACUCACUCCGAUGUCUCUGUGUGCCAGGACAGUCAUUUCUGUGUGUCCGUGUUAACUCGGUGCCCAGUUCUGAGUACCCACUGUGUGUCAGGAAGUGUCUUAAUUAGCGUUACCAGCCAGCUUGACACAGUCUUGAAGCAUUUCCCUGAACAGCCUCUGUUGAGCAAUUGUCCUCAUCAGGUGGGUCGGCGAGCACGUCUGUUGGGGAUUGUCUUGCCAGUUAAAUGACGUAAGGGCACCCAGCCCCCUGCGAGCAGCGUCGGUCCCUGAGCAGGGGGUUCUGAGCUCUCUAAGGAAGCCAGCUGAAUGGAAGCCUGAGUGAACCAGAAAGUCAACAAGGGAUGCUCCUCCACGGUUUCUGCUUCGAGUUGCUGUCUUGAAUUCCUGCCUUGACUCUCCUCCUGGAUAGACGGUGGUGACCUCAGCGACUGUGCAUUAAAGGGUUAAUGCAAAUAAACCCUUUCCUCCCCCACGUUUCUUUUGUCUUACCAUAGCAACAGAAAUGUUUUACCACAGCAACCGAAAUGAAACUAGAACAGGAGGUGUGUUCAAAGCUGUCCUUAGAGGACAGAAUGAAGGAGUCACGGUAGUCAUGUGGCGUGGGCCACUGGCACUUCCUAGCCGUCCAUUAUGUUAUUUCAAAGCCGAGCAAAGUCCUGCAGCCAUAAUCAACAGGGUGGGGAUGGAAAGAGAGAAAGCGAGAGGCUUGACACCUGGAGCUCGAAGGAUGCUUGUUCAAGGAGGUGACCUGUAAGCCAUUAGGUCUCCACUGGCACUAAUCUGAAACCACUGUGCAUCUUCUGGAGACUCUUUGACAGUCUCCACCAGGGAGGAGGGUGCUACUGUGUCCCCAGAGAACCCAAGGGAAGGAUGCUGUGAGCAACGCCCAGAAUGAAGCAUUUUCCAGCUCAAGAGGUCCACACUGCCAAGGUUGAGAAACCCUGAUUCUGAAGAUAGGCAGGCAGGGAAGUCAGCGCGCUAAGGGAUGAGGAAACACUGGAGGUGAAAGGGGCAGCGCACACUGGCAUUAGUGCCAGAGCCUCAAGACAGCGUGGUUGCCCUCGGCAAAGGCAAACCCCAGUAGAAGACAUGAAGGAAAGGCAAGGUAAGGGGGGCUUCUGAUCGUGGACACUUCGUGACAGAAGACAUUGUUGGUGUUCUACACCCGACCUGUGAAAGAGGCCCCUAUGGGAUUCUAAAGACCAGCAGGGAACAUGGGGGAAGGACAGACUAAACCAAAAGCAGUGAAGGUAGACAGCAAAAGUGGCCCCAGAUGCAUUCCGGGGAGUGAUGGUUACACCCCAGGCAUGAACCACAAGAGGCUGAUGGUAACUGGGUAGCAAGGCCCACUCUGUAGGGAGCCCUAAUCAAAAGCCGAUUGAGGGAAUGUCUUAGUUUCUUUCCCUGUUGCUCUUUGUGGCCAUUUGAAUUCAAAACAUCCCUCAUAGGCUCUGGUCUUUGAAUAUUUGGUCCCCAGUUGGUGGUGCUAUCUGGGGAAGGUUUGGGAAGUUAUGCCCUUGCUGGAGAAAGUGUGUCAUGGACAGCAAGUUUUGCGAGUUCAAAGCCUUCCCCUCCUACCUGUCUGCAUUCGGCUUCCUGCUUGCCCUUGAGGUGCCCUUGAGGUGUGAGUGCUCAGCUUCUUGCUCCAGCCCCCACGCCUGCCACUUGCUGCUACACCUCCCCACUGGGAUGGACUCUAACCUUCUGGAACUGUAAGUCCAAAUAAACUCUUUUAGAAGUUGCUUUUGGUCGGGACGUUUUAUUAUAGCAACAGAAAAGCCACCAAUAUGCCAUCACAAAAGACCUCAGCCAAAGCAAGCUAGAGGAGGAAGAGUUGACCUUGGCUCUAGAUUCCAGCGCAUGGUCUAUGGUGAGGAUGUUAAGGCAGCUUGAAGCCUCUGGUCAUAUUACAUCUACAGACACGAAACAGGAAGUAAUGAAUGUGCCCAAGCGCUCAGUUUGAGUUCUCCUUUUAAUACAGUCCAAGAUGACCUGCCGAGAUAAUCUCCCGGAGGCCCAUCUGCCAGGUGAUUCUAGAUUUAUGAAGGUGACAGUUAACACGAGCCAUGAGAGGGAGGACUUCAAGACCUCAGCCUCACAGAUAAAUAGCUGGACCUAUCCAGUAAAAUUGGAGGUGUGUGGUGUUAUGGAGAGGCAUGGCUUGUCUGGGACUUUAAGCACCUCUGAGUUCUCAGUGCAAAUCUAAUGUUCUCUUUAAUUCCUACCAGGGUUUUGAAGAAAAAAAAAAAAAAGCAAUGUUUAGACACACACCUGACCAGGUAAGCUGGAUUUCUAAGAGUGGGUACCCAAGCACAAGAAAACUUAAACAUCAACCUUCACGCAGUGAGUCUAACACAGUGGUCCUCAGCCUUCCUAAUGCUUUGACCCUUUAAAACCCAACCAUAAAGUUAUUCUGUUGCUACCUCACGACUGCAAUGUUGCUACUGUUACGAGUCAUAAUGUAAAUAUCUGAUGUAAAUAUCUGAUAUGCAGGGUAUCUGACAUGCCACCCGCAGAGGGGUUGUGACCCACAGGCUGAGAACCUCUGGGCUAACACUGGGUGAGGUUCCACAUCCAACCGGCUUGAGCUGUUGAUGACCUCAAUAUGCUCAGGGGCCCCCCUUGUGGGCGGAGACGCUCAUCUGUGUAAUUCCAGAGGAGGCAUUCCUGUUUCCUAGCUAUAUAAUUCUGUGUCCUGCUUCAGCUCUUGGCUGAAUACCGUCCAAACAACGAACUGCUUGGUCUUGUGUGUUCUGGUGUCACCUGAGGUCCAGACCAUCAAUUCUCAGAUUCUCAGACGGUCUUGUUUGUAGCAAUGCUAAUCUCCACAGCGAAGUCUCAUGGCUUCAACCUGCCUUCCAUCUCUGAUUUAUUUUUUUUUGUCUGUCUGUCUGUCUGUCUGUCUUUCUUUUCUUUUCUUUUCUUUUCUUUUCUUUCCUUUUCUUUCUUCCUUCCUUUCCCUUUCUCCCUUCCUCUUUUUUCCUUUUUUUCUACAGAAUCUCACUCAGCAGCCCAGACUGCCUUGAACUACCCUACUUCAGGUUGACCUCAGACCACAAGCAAUUCUCCUGCCUCAUCCUCUGGGAUGAUGGGCAUGGGCCACCACACUCAACUUGUGAUCUUGCUUUCCAAACCUCCCAGUACCCUGCGCCAUAGAGCACUCAAAGCCGAAGCUGCCCAGAGUCGGUUCUUUGAGGUCAGUUGGGUACCAUUUUCCUUGUUAUGUUUGGGUGCCCAUCACAGCAUUGCUUUAUUCCUGGCUCCUCGGGAUCCCACAGUCCGUGUGCGUGCCGUGGCUCCUGGGACAAGGCUCAUAGAUUGUAGGUCAAAACUUCUCAACCUCAGAGCUCUUGAUAACAGUGUCACAAUUGUUCCUUGUCAUGGGGACCACUCCUUGCCUCUGUCAGACGUCCCGGCAGUGGUCCAGCCUUAUCACUAGCUGUGGCAGGUCCCCUAGUUUCUCAGUUCCAAUGGCACAUUACCAAAUAUUCCCUUGGGAAGCAAACGUCCCCCAAGUUCAUAGCAGGUGUUUGAUAGGAACGAUAAGGCCAAGCCAGUACUCUGAGAAUGUUGAAGCAGGUGGAGAGCGAGCAGACCAAGGAAUGCCCUAGCUGCCCUUGACAGGAAGAACAUGAUAAGAGCAAGAGGCUACCUCUCUUAGCCCAGAAAAUAGCUGGUGCUUCUGUUCUCUCUGUCUCUCUGUCUCUCAGCGCCUUACCAUCCUUUGUCUAGUCUGAUUUCCUACGAUAGCGUUCUUUCUGAGCACAUGUGGCGGGACCAGGCUCUGUCCCAAGCGGGUGGGACACGCUACUUCACUUCGUUCUCCUGAUAGCUCAGAGCCAGGAAUGAGUGAAGACACAUUCCGUAAACACACUGCCCUUCUGAGCCUUAGCUUUGUACUGUGAGGCGAACAGAACAAAGGCAGAGAAGUCCACAGCUCCUGCCUCGUCUUCUUCUACUUCAUCUGUGGUCUCAGUCCUUUUGCCAUACUUGGGUCCUUCCCCUGGGGUCCAAAUCACCACCUCCAAAAUGUCUCCCUUUCCCCAGAUGUCUUCUUCUCAGCUUGGUCCCUAGAGAGAAUUGGCCAUCUUGUUCCUUUCUUCUUCCCGGGGCAUUCUCAGCGCGUCACUGUCGUCCAGUACGCGUUGGCCUCACCCUGGGCCUUCUUGCCAUGGGCUUCGCUGAAGCAGGCCUCUCUGGUGAGUGCUCUAGAUGCAAGGAUGGGACCCAGUGGCCUCUCUCAGCCCAUUCAUUCUCUCCUGCAUGUGGGCUGUUGUUCACAACUCUGCUCCUUCAGGAGCUCUCAAGUGAACCAGGGCUUAAAAAGAAAACAGCCAGAGGAAGACACAGCACCAAGCCAGCAUCUUCAAGUAAAAGAUCUAAGAGCUGAAGAAACGAGUGCCCUACAGAGAGAGCUUGCUGUCCAAGGAAUGGCCAGGAUGUGGAAGAAUGAAGGAUCAGGGCAACAGUGAAUGGAGCUAAUAUGGAAGAAGCGUUAAUGAGUGUGGCCCAGUCAAGUCCCAUUGCCCGCAUCCUCCUUGGCCAAGGGCUCGAUUGGGCUGCAGAGGCGCAGAAAGGGGGUAGGGUGCUAUUACUGUAUAAAUCACCUGAUCUGUACUCGUUGGCAGUGUGUGUUCUUAACUGCUUAAUCUGUAGAAAAGAAAGCAACCCUAGUUCCUACAAGAGCAAAAGUAACUCAGACAGGUGAAGCCGAUUGCUUAAGAGCCCACAGGGAGUGAGCAAUCUCCAUGAACUUGUGGGUCUUACCAGUCGAGACUUAGGUGUGUGGGGAGGGAGAGGGGAGCCAUGCCUGCCAUUGUUUCCCUGUAUGUUUACAGUCAAACCUCACUGGGUCAUUCUUACACAAGUCCUCCUCCAUUAGCUUUCGGAACCUAAAGUGGGGCAGAAACACUCCUUCCCUGCUUGUUAUGUGCGCUGCGAUGUGGAGGACAUCUAUGGUUGUGACACUCCAGUCUGCCCCCUGGCUCCUCCCUUUCCUGCCUGUGGGAAGUGGACAUGGUGAGUUGACAGAAAGAACUGAACAGGAGUGACUUGCCUGGUGCAAAAUUCUUCUUUCUCUCUAGCGGAGAACUGGAAAGGUAACAAUGAAGAAGCAAUCGGGGCUGAGGAGGAAACUCGAGAUCACAGAGGGUCAUGUAGAAGCACUCCUCUCUGGCUGAUGACCUCCUAGCUGACCAGGCUACGCCCCACCCUAUGAGCAAACCCUGUGACUUUUCCACCCUGCUUUCACUGGGCAUGGCAAUGCCACACGCCAUAGAGAAGUCCUCCAGGGCUCCCUCUCAGGAACAGGGCUCACAUCUCAAUCCGCCACCCUGCUUUUAGACUCACUCAAGCAGAAAGAAAGAUUCAUAAAUGGAUCCCACCAAACAGAACAGCAGCGUCCUGGGUGUGGAGAUUGAUUGAUGGAAACUACACAUCGAUCCUAGGUAGUUUUGUCUCUUUUUUUUUUUUUUUUGGUAUGGUUCAUAACAAGAGGGCACGCACUUAGAAUUCUGAAUUGACAUUUCAAAGGGAUGGACUAGAGGGGACAAAGGAACAGAAUGGAGAAGAUUCUGGAAACUGUAGAGAGUUGAUAUAAAGGAAUAGAAAGACUUCCUGCAAAGAAAUGUUGCUGCUAGGACCUUGGGUUUAGAGGGUGGUCAUAGAGGCAUAAUUAGGUCAUGUGACCUCCAAAGACACAACAUCGCAUUCACGGAGCUGUAGUUUGACCAGGCCACACAUUGAGGACACAGCCUGAUAAGUCUUUGCUCUGUGGUAGAGAAUCCAGGAAAAUUAGAGGACAAAGGGCAGAGCCAACAAGAUGACCUCAGAGGAAGUUGGAAGAACCUCAAAGAGUCAAGGGGCAGAGGAGUAGGAAACUCACAAAAAUGCAGGGUCCAGGGAGGCAGAAGUCACUACUCCUGGAAGGGGAGGAAAUAUGAUUGGAAGAGCUAGAGCAGAAAUGGAACUCAGGUAAUUAGGAAAGCCCCAUCAACCAUGCAGGGCAUCUUCAGAGCCUGGUGGGGGACAAAAGAGCUUCUAUCCCUGUCACAACCCGGCAAAGUAAGAACACGCUUAUGACCAAGCCUACACAAAGUCUCAUCUGGAACAGACCAACAAUGAAGUCAUCACGGAACAAUGGGCCUCCAAGAGCUAGGCUGUGUCACACUGCCCUUUCUGUGCAGGUGACCCCAGCAGAAAGAGCCAGUGUAUAAGUACCUAAGCAAGUGGUCAAACUGGACAAUACUUUCACAAAAGGGAGGGGGACAUUUCUCCAGUGUGGGGCCAUUUAUUCACAUUCUUCCCUCAUUGUUGUGUUGGGUCUAAUGGGCUCAACCUAGAAGGGACCUUCAUCCUGCCUUCAGGCAGCUUUCAAUGAACAAGGCAGGGUUGGCUCUGAGACGAUUCCUCACUCCCAUAUAAAAAACAGAAGUACCUACAAUGCCUAAUCAACUGCAGGCUUGGGGUGUGGCUUAGGGGUGGAGGUCUUCUCUAGCAUGAUGCCCUGGGUUCAAUUCCCAGUACCGCACACGCCAGAGAACUUAGAAAGCUCUGAGCAUAGACCUUUAUUCUCUCUUUAGUUUGUGUUUUAUCCUUUAAUAAUCUAUUUUUAAAUUCAAAAGAUCCGAAGUUCCAAGAUGACAGACACCAAGAGUGUUCAACUUUUAGGACCUCCACUGGACUGCCCAGUAAGUCCUAGAAGACGCCACCAAGCUUUGAACCCUUCAUUUGGAGCAUAAAAUAAAGUUAUUUACUUAAAAUAAAUCUACGUCUCCUCCUGGAUCCAUCUUGUUUGGAAUUUUCAAUUCGAAAAUAUAUCUAAUACAACAAGCUUUCUGGAGAGCCAGCUGUAUACGUGGACUCCUUAGCCAAUCAAUUUAAAAUACUCCCUCAAGGGAAGUAGAUGCCGAACCCAGCCAUAAGCCGGAUUCAAAUGUUUCUCCAUUUUUUGGUGCUUGAGGGUUUUUUUUCAAUCAUUCUGACCUUCUCUUUAUUAAUUUUACAGUCAUUUAAAAACUCAAAUGACCCUUAUUGUUUCAGGGUACCUUAGAGACAAAACAUAUUCAAACAUUCUAGGCACGCUUAAUAUAACUAGAAUACUUCAGACGCAAAGUAGCUUUGACCAUCAUGGCGAAAUGAAGGACUUGAAGAGGGAGAAGAUAUUCUUCAAAGUUGCAUUUGGCAUUGUCUCUCACUUAGAACCAUAACUGAGAAGAAGCUAAGUUCUAUUUAGUGUUACCUCUCCAUAAGUAGCUACAGUUUAUCCUUUCUUUUCCUGUUUUUAGCACUGGGAAUUGAAGUUUGGGCCUCAGCUAUAUUCUCAGCUCUUUUCAACUUUUUUAUUUUGAGGUAAGCUUUGUUAAACUUAUAAUCCCCCUGCCUCAGCAUCCCAAAUAGUUGGGAUUACACGCCUGUACCACCAGACACAACUUCUUUUAAAUUUUUGUUGAUUUGAGAUAGCGUCUUCUGUAGCUGUCCUCAUAUUUGUUACCUAUCCAAGGAUGACCUUGAACUCCCUUGCUAAGAUUACAGGCUCCCCUCCCACCGCGUCUUGACUCUCCUUUAAAUAUUUUUUAUGCCUUGAAAAGUCUGACAUCGUGAAAAGCAGCUGUGUGCAUUGCUCCAACCAUUUGCAAAACCCUUUACAAUUUCUCUCCUUCCUUCAUGUACAGGACUAUUUUCCAAAAUCCUUUCCCGUCAACCUGUUACCAUAGUUUUCCCGCCAGCUCCAGCCUGACCCGAGGAGCAUGCAGCGUGAUCCAGACAUUCAGCUCACUCGCGUCUUCCUGUAGCCUGAGCAGUUUCCCGCAUGGCGACACUCCUCUUGGGAUUGUCACCUUUCAUGACUGUAUAUUGUUACACUCGAAGGAGGGACCAUAGAUUUUGGCUGCUUUGGAAAUGUGACUGUCUUAACUCAUAUGGCACUGAGAGUGUGAUUUGGAUUUCUGUCUGCUCAGUUUUGUUUGGUGUCCACAGCUAGGGAUUAAUCUUAAGGCCUCUGAAUGCUAGGCCGACACUCAACCACUGAGCUGCAUCCUUACCUCUCAGCUUAUUUCUUUCCAAAUUGUAUUUUUCUUAUUUUUAAUUACGUGUAAGUAUGAGGUAUGUGUAUGUGUGCCUUCAGGGGACUGCGGAACUCCUGCACACGUGCCCUGAAGCUGGAGUUACAGCAGUUGUAAGGCACGUCAUAUGGGAUCAAGCGCAGGUCCCCUGCAGGAAGUCUUGUUCUGAACCACUGAGUCAUCUCUGCAGCCACCCCCACCCCUGCCCCCGCCCCACCACAUCACUUCUUGAAGAGCAUUUUCAAAUAAUGGAAUAAAGCCUGGGACUUUACACAUCCUGCCCCCUUCCUUCCUCUAGUCCACCCCUACUAAACUCCAAGGCUGCCUGAAACAGCUAUUUUAACCCAGGGAAUCUUCUUGUUGGUUUUCUGGUUUGUUUGUUUGUUUGUAGAUUGUUUGGGGCCAGGGAGACGGUGCUUGUCAACAAGCCCAAAAACCUGAGUUCGAGUCCCUGAACCUACGUGGUGGGAAGAGAUAGCUGAGUCCCAAAGCUGCUUGCACUGUGGUACGUACACACACACACACACACACACACACACACGUAAUUUUAAAAAUUAGGGCUGCAGAGAUGGUUCAAAAGUUAGAGUACUUGAUGCCCUGCCAGAGGACUGGAGAUCAGUUCCCAUAACCCACAUCAGGUCACAACCACGCACAACUCCAGACUCGGGGGAUCUGACAAGCCCUCUGGUGUCCUAGGGCAAUUACACUCAAGCACACAUACUCCCCAACAUGCACAUAUAGUUGGCUGACUCAAACUCGUUUUAACUUUGUCCAUUUUAUUUUGAAGCUUCUGGGUAAUUUUUUUUGGGGGGGGGCAUUGUUUUUUGGUUGUUUUUUGUUGUUGCUGUGGUUUUGUUUUUUUUUUUUUUUUUUCUCAUUUGGUUUCAUAACUCUGACCUUAGCACAAGCAAGGCAAGUUUCUCUACCCCUGAACUUCAACCCCAGGUCCAAAUGUUUCCGUUUAGUAAAGAUCUUGAAUCUAUCCAGGAACAGUACCAAAUGUGUGCAUCCAUUGUGCAGAUGACAGAAAAGGACAUUUUCAUGCCUCUCAAAUGUCCUUAGCACUGCUCUAACGUCCCAAAGAACUUCUUAGGAGUUCGUCACAGGGCUCUGCUGCUCACUUAAUUUACUGUUGAGAGGACAAACGGGAGUAGAUUUCUGUCUUCUUGUCUACCUUGGGUUUUGUGGUAGGUCCCCUCUCCUAGGUCAUCCCCAGAAGGGUUAAACGCUGAAUUGAUCUCCCGAGUGUCUGUACUUCCAGGAGAUCCUUUGACUGGCAGGAUGCUGUAACUAUUUUUGCUGAGGCUGGGGAUAACUCGGUGGGUAAAGGACUUAUUUAAGCAUGAGAACCUGAGUUCAGAUCUCUAGCACCCCUGUGAAAAGCUGGUCAUAGUAGGAAAUGCUGUCAUCCACUCACGGAGGGAGCCAAAGGCGAGAGGAUCUCUGGGGCUUGCUAGCAAGUCAGUCUAGCUAACCAGUAAGACCGAGAGAAACGACGAAGACACCCAAGAUCAACCUCUGAUUGCCCCAGAGAGACAGAGUCAGGCAGGCAGAGACAGAAAUACCUCCAGUGUACUUAAAGGUUCUUGUAUUCUUUCUUUCAUGCAACUGGGAAAUACAACAGUUACGUUUGACCUAGAAUGAUUCCGGAAGCAUUGGGUGGUUGCUGCUAUACAAACUCAAACCAUGAUUCCCUGUGCUGCUUCUCCCCAGCCAUCAGCCAUCUGAAAUUCAAGCGAGGCCCAGGACCGCAGCUGCAUGCUUCCAGGUGACACCAGUUAGCCACCAGGUGACUAUCUCACUGACUGACCGCACUGUUUGCUUUUAAACUCUCGGGCGGGAGCGCAUCUCCUGCACCCCCACAUCCCAGCAAGAACCGAACUGUGCUCGGGUAAAGACAGAAUUUUGCUCCUGGGUUUAAGGUAAAGGGUAAAAACAGGAAAAGAGACAGAAACGUUAGAGCCUGUGUCUCAGUGAAUCGCCAGACCUGUGGUUUUCUCCGAACCACACCCAGGGGCCACGGCUGGAGGUGAUGAUCAACGUCACACAGGACUGACCACCUCCUCACAAGAUUCCUCUACUAAUAACCUUUCCUCCUCUUUUCACAGGCCUUUCUGGGUUAGGAUGACUUUGGGGAAAUCUAAUUACAGCCCUUUCCGAGCUCCAACUUCACCACCCAACAAACCCGUUUUACAACUCAAAGGAAUCUAAUUUGGCCUCGCGCUUACGUUGGAAUAACACACCAAACAAGCGAAAAGCUGGCAGCUCAACUAAUGAGACUAGAUUUGGGCCACACUGCCAACUCGAUCUAAUUAAGAAGCACCAGCGCGUUAACGACACUUGAAGGGGAAAGGUUCGAGGAGGACACGGGGUUCGCGAUUCAUGAGAGCAGCGGUGUCCCGAGAGACAGUCAGCCCAGCCACCUUCCCUCCACACCUAGGGAGGUGAGCGGUCCUGGAGCCGGGAUGAAUCGAAGGUUCCGAAUAUUCAGAACCCAAUCCCAGCUAAGCCUGAAGAAGCCUGCCGUGUCCCGGUACAGCCACACACGUGAAAUGAUGCCAUUUUUACUUAUUAAUAUUUAUUUCUAGGAGACGAACAGACUCAUUGUAUAGAGAGAUGCCCCUGACCAACUGUCAACUUCUGUUUUACUACCAGUUUCUCCCAAGGCAUUUCCAAAUAAAAGGACACUAGAAUAAAAAAAUAAAAAAGCACAGUGAAAACCACUUGGGUGUGAGCUGCCUGUCACUCACUCAGUGUUUUACAUUCUGCCAAAUCUAACAACAUCCCACCGAGGCACUGUGUUGGGUCCUGCUCCAAAUGACACUCACAGCAACGCC